GCCGAAACUAAAAGGACGCGAUAAUUA
rnacentral:piRNA from 1 species